GUAAAACUCUGUUGUUAGGGAAGAACAAGUGCUAGUUGAAUAAGCUGGCACCUUGACGGUACCUAACCAGAAAGCCACGGCUAACUACGUGCCAGCAGCCGCGGUAAUACGUAGGUGGCAAGCGUUAUCCGGAAUUAUUGGGCGUAAAGCGCGCGCAGGUGGUUUCUUAAGUCUGAUGUGAAAGCCCACGGCUCAACCGUGGAGGGUCAUUGGAAACUGGGAGACUUGAGUGCAGAAGAGGAAAGUGGAUUCCAUGUGUAGCGGUGAAAUGCGUAGAGAUAUGGAGGAACACCAGUGGCGAAGGCGACUUUCUGGUCUGUAACUGACACUGAGGCGCGAAAGCGUGGGGAGCAAACAGAUUAGAUACCCUGGUAGUCCACGCCGUAA
rnacentral:rRNA from 2 species